CACAGUGUAGCAAUACAUGGGUGGCGACCGGCAAACGGGUGCGGAACACGUACGCAACCUUCCUUCAGGCGGGGAAUAGCCCAGAGAAAUUUGGAUUAAUACCCCAUAAUAUUUUGAGAUGGCAUCAUCUUAUUAUUAAAGCUACGGCACCUGGAGAUGGGCGUGCGGCUGAUUAGGUAGUUGGCGGGGUAAUGGCCCACCAAGCCUACGAUCAGUAGCUGAUGUGAGAGCAUGAUCAGCCACACGGGCACUGAGACACGGGCCCGACUCCUACGGGAGGCAGCAGUAAGGAAUAUUGGUCAAUGGACGCAAGUCUGAACCAGCCAUGCCGCGUGGAGGAUGAAGGUCCUCUGGAUUGUAAACUUCUUUUAUCUGGGACGAAAAAAGGGUUUUCUAACUCGUCUGACGGUACCAGAUGAAUAAGCACCGGCUAACUCCGUGCCAGCAGCCGCGGUAAUACGGAGGGUGCAAGCGUUAUCCGGAUUCACUGGGUUUAAAGGGUGCGUAGGCGGGCAUUUAAGUCAGUGGUGAAAUACCUGAGCUUAACUUGGGAACUGCCAUUGAUACUAUUUGUCUUGAAUGUCGUGGAGGUUAGCGGAAUAUGUCAUGUAGCGGUGAAAUGCUUAGAUAUGACAUAGAACACCUAUUGCGAAGGCAGCUAACUACGCGAAUAUUGACGCUGAGGCACAAAAGCGUGGGGAUCAAACAGGAUUAGAUACCCUGGUAGUCCACGCCCUAAACGAUGAUUACUCGACAUUAGCGAUACACUGUUAGUGUCUGAGCG
rnacentral:rRNA from 1 species